CACAAACUACAAACAAACAACUUGCACGGAAGAGGUCAAUAGACUUCCAUCACUUCUUUUUUUAUCACGAGAAGAAGCAGACGAUGAAACAGAAGUUCCAAGGGAAACAAUAAUCAGUCAUUUUUUUUUUCAUUUUCACCCAUGAAUACACUUUUUUUCUCUCAAGGUUGAGUAUGUGUUUUUUUUAUAUGAACUAGAUUAUUCUUUCAUUGAAUCAUUUGUUUUUAUUUAGUUUAAUUUUUAUGUUUGUUCAUUUAGAAAAAAGAAGUAACAAGAGGAUUGAGCUUUGUUUAGGAUAGUCAAUUUUUUUCUUCCUUGUUUUGUUGGUGAUUUUGAAUCAAAUUGAGGAAUUAAGAAUGGAUAUUGGAGAAAUGAAAAAUAAGAAAGAUCAAUCUACACACAAGAACAGAAAGAUCAAUCCCAAAUAUCCAGCCAUGGUGAUGGAGUAGUUGCAUGUUUUAAAUUCACAGAUUUUAUGAAAAAAAAAAAAAAAAAACAAAACAAAA